GCCAGUGUGACAUAGUGGUUUGAGUGUUGGACUAUGACUCGGAGACCAGGGUUCGAUUCCCAGCUUGACC
rnacentral:tRNA from 1 species